rnacentral:rRNA from 1 species
ACUCCUGCGGGAGGCAGCAGUGGGGAAUAUUGCACAAUGGGCGCAAGCCUGAUGCAGCCAUGCCGCGUGUAUGAAGAAGGCCUUCGGGUUGUAAAGUACUUUCAGCGGGGAGGAAGGCGAUAAGGUUAAUAACCUUGUCGAUUGACGUUACCCGCAGAAGAAGCACCGGCUAACUCCGUGCCAGCAGCCACGGUAAUACGGAGGGUGCAAGCGUUAAUCGGAAUUACUGGGCGUAAAGCGCACGCAGGCGGUCUGUCAAGUCGGAUGUGAAAUCCCCGGGCUCAACCUGGGAACUGCAUUCGAAACUGGCAGGCUAGAGUCUUGUAGAGGGGGGUAGAAUUCCAGGUGUAGCGGUGAAAUGCGUAGAGAUCUGGAGGAAUACCGGUGGCGAAGGCGGCCCCCUGGACAAAGACUGACGCUCAGGUGCGAAAGCGUGGGGAGCAAACAGGAUUAGAAACCCCUGUAGUCCCA